UACGUAGGGACCAAGCGUUGUCCGGAAUCAUUGGGCGUAAAGCGCGCGUAGGUGGCCAUUUAAGUCCGCUGUGAAAGUCAGAGGCUCAACCUUUGAAAGCCGGUGGAUACUGGAUGGCUAGAGUACGGAAGAGGCGAGUGGAAUUCCUGGUGUAGCGGUGGAAUGCGCAGAUAUCAGGAAGAACACCCGUGGCGAAGGCGGCUCUCUGGGACGGUACUGACGCUGAGACGCGAAAGCGUGGGGAGCGAACAGG
rnacentral:rRNA from 1 species